rnacentral:misc_RNA from 1 species
UACAGAGGGUGCAAGCGUUGUUCGGAUUUACUGGGCGUAAAGCGCGUGUAGGCGGCGGUGUAAGUCGGAUGUGAAAUCCCUUGGCUCAACCAAGGACGUGCAUCCGAUACUGCAUCGCUUGAGUGCCGGAGGGGAUGGCGGAAUUCCCGGUGUAGAGGUGAAAUUCGUAGAUAUCGGGAGGAACACCUGUGGCGAAGGCGGCCAUCUGGACGGUAACUGACGCUGAGACGCGAAAGCGUGGGUAGCAAACAGG